rnacentral:lncRNA from 1 species
GACAAAAUAAACACUAUCUCCCCAUGUUUUAAACUAGCUACUUUAAGUCCACACAACACAAACCCGUCUAUGGCUAGAAAGUCCGAUUUUUUUCUUAUGUAUUUCCGGUACACCCAAAUUGACGUACUCCUCCCCCCCAGUGUCUGAUGAGGGAAAUGUAACACAAUGUAGCAACGCCCACUUCCGCUCUACUUCCUACCCGAUACAUAGCUUCCUGUCCCGAUCACGUCCUGUCAGCCUGAUUGUAGCCAUAGCAGCUUCGAAGUCCCUCGUUUUAUUAUCUCAGUAUAUUAAUAUAAUCAUAUUUUUAUAGCGUUUUUUUAUUGUUAUAAUUCUUGUUGAAAAUUAUGUUUAUCCCUUCAGUUAGGGAUUUUUGUAAUUCGAUUAUUUUGUUCUGUGUCUUUUUUGGUCUCUUCGCUAGCUAGCUAUUAACAUUCUAACUAGUAAGGUGACUCGCAAUUAGCCAACGCCUCCCUCCCCUACCAAUCAUGGCACUGCUUUACUCAGGACGCUCGUAAAAGCUACCAAAGAUCACAUUGACGGAUGUACAUCGUCUGGCCAAGAUAAGUAGCAAAGCACCGAACUCCAAGUUAAAAACAAGGAUUCAAACUUUGUGUCCAGUUACCUUUUCAACUACGAAGGUAAGUAUAGCCAAGUUGCCUAUCAGAUCAGACAAGGACGUUUACUCAAAGCUGUAACGUAGUUUAAGACAUGCCUUUUACAGUAGCUAGCUAAUAUGAUUGCUCUUUCUUUUUAUUCCAAAACAGCUUCGAACAGGGCCAACGUGACAGGAGAGGUCAGCAUAAGGGCUUGCUGCUAUAGGUCCAUGAGGAAAAAUUAGAAACCACACAGUUUGAGUGUAGGGUGAAAAGGCAGGUGUUUGUGACACACUAUAUGCAGGUUACACAGUCAGAGAUGAAGCCUAGUCUUAGACUAAGGAGUUCCUGUCAAUGGAGAUCUGCAUUAAGAGGCAUUGCUUAGUCUAUGAAUAGGCUUAACCCAUGUCUAUCAAACCGUUCUUAGUGUAGUAAUUGUUCAGUUGUUUUCCUUGCUGUUUAUGUGAGCUCUGUUAUGUUGGACGCAUUAGAUUACAAUUAAACAAGGACAUAUACCGUUAAUAGAAAAGUUUACAUCCGUAUUGCUGUAAUGAAUUUAGUUGCAUGUUGCGGCAGUCAUUUCUGUUUGCGUUGAGUGAUUUUUAGUCUAAUCAUUUUCUUUUUAUAUCUCCGCGUGGGUUGUACUGAAGCCCUCUGAGCCAGUAACAAUGACACAUCACCACACAGUUGCAUUACUAUUCCAGUCUGCACACUAAGAUGGGAACACCAGUCAUCCCAUCUGUGCACAGCUGCACAGAGGCCGAGCAGCAGUGGCAUAAGCCAAGGACUAUGGGUCUGCAACCUGGGCCCAUAGGCAAAAUGACCAUCACCAAGGCCACCAAAAAGCGCAUGGCAGAAGGAGGGAUUAGGUGGUUUCAAGUACAUUGUUUAGAUUGGCUAACCACAGCGGCUGCUUUGCGGAAGUACAGCGCCCUUUUUGGAACGCUCCCUGACCUCUCAGUUCUCCAGAUAGAAGAGGCAUACAAGAACUUUGACCCUCUAUCCAAACCAUUGAUCUGCAGCAUGGGGAUGAAGGCUGAAAAGCUUUUAGGUGACUCCCACUUUGGAAGGGUAUAGUUGGAGAGCCUCCUGUCUUACCAGCAGCCUCCAAUCACAAUGUGACCAUAGUUCACUAUAAGGAGACACCACCAUUCCCUUUACUGCCCCUGGAUGGCUACAGACUGGAGAGCAACUUUCAAGGCUGCACUUGUGCUCAAUGAAGAAGACCAGCUUCACAUAGUCUCUUCAGGUGAGAGAAUACAUAGAGACCCAGCGGUGUUCUCACUAAUUAGAGAGAAGGGUGACUGGUACUACUUAUGUGUACAUGCAAAAGUUCUUAGGCAGGAAAGACUAAAUAACAAGGGACAGGCUCCUUUAUCUUUCAAUUAAUGAAAGGGAAACAAAUCAACAUCUGUCUGUGCAAUUCAUUAAUAAUUUAAAAUAAUUCAGUAAAAUGUUUCUGUUCUCAUCACUGUAAAUAAAAACUCUUUAUAACAUUUUGUUUGGAGUAUAAGCAGAGGUGUUUAUUAUCAAUAAAGGGACUACUGGUGUUAGACAAUGUGGAUGGUCACAGCAAAAAAAGGAAAGAUGCAUUGCAGUAGUAGCUCAUUGCUCCUUGGCCCAUGCCUUCACAAGAGGCCUAAACUGGUAGUUUUGUGAGAAGGCAAGCCACAGCCCAGAUGCAGUUGAUGCUUCCCAUCAGUGACAUGAGGAUCUCUUGGACAUGGUAAUAUUCCACUGGAAUAGCAAAGGUACUGCUCCCUUUUUUAGACGUCGAAGCCCACUAAGGUUCAAUGAAAUCUUCUUAAAUUCCUAACUUUCAAUAAAGAUGCCGCACCAACUAAUAAUGUUAACGUCCUUAGCACUAACGUUAGCUAGGUACUGGUAGGUAACGUUUGCUAGCUAAAUAGACAAAAGACAGAACCCAAUCGAAUUACAAAAAUCUAUAGAAAUAUGAUUAUAUUAAUAUACUGGGGGUAAUGAUAAAAUGAGCGACUUCGAGGCUAGUAUGGCUGACAAGUAGUGAUGGGUCGUUCACGAACAAGUUGGCUCUAAGAGCCGGCUCGCAUAUCAGAAGAGCCUAAUCUAUUUACAAAAAAAUGAAGAUAUGAAUAAUCAAAAGAUUUUAAAUGAAUAGAAUUAACUAAUUCAAAGAACGAAAAAAGAAAUAAAAGAAUAUAGGCCUACAUACUCAAGUGCACACAUUCGUUCUGACUGUCUGCUCAGACUUAACAGCUUUACCUGUUGUUCCUGUCAAUCAGACACGCAAUGUCAACCAAUGAACCGCGAGGAAGGGCUGAGCCAACUGUCACAGUCACACACUUAGCAGCCGAGGAGAGAGAGGAAGGACAGCUGUGAAAACAACAGCUGGAAAAUGAGUUGGAAGCACAGUAGCAUUUGGAUGCAUUUGUUAGAGCACAGUGUACAAUUUGCCAAAACAAAAUCUCAUAUAAAGCCGGUUCUACGCACAACCUACACCGGCAUAUGCGAACUGUGCACCCAACUGUGAAGCUAGCUGUAGCGAAGCUUCAAGAAGCUAGCGGGCCUGCUAGUGAUAGUGGUGGAGCCACCACCUCCACACGUGGAGAUGUAUCCACUCAGUCAAGUAGGCCUACACCGCGACCCACAGCAACGCAGUCUUCAAUGGACCAGUUUAUGCCAACGUCUAUGCAGCAAAACAAGGCCAAAUUGAUAUUGCAUUGGCUAAAAUGAUUGGCACCGAUUUCCAGCCAUUUUCGAUCGUGGAGGACAGCGGUUUUAGAAAUUAUCACAAUAGUCUAAAUCCAAUGUACACAAUUCCAAGCAGGAAAACCCUUUUAAAAUCACUUAUUCCACAACUGUACGAGAGCACACUGGCUUCAGUGCGGGAAAGAGUCCAAAAUGCUACUGCAGUUUGCCUUACCACUGACGGUUACAUGUCACUUCAUUGAAGAUUUUUCAAUGUCUAGGUGUCUUCUGGACUGCUUUGAGUUCAGCGACAGACACCUCAGAGGAACUGUUGAGAGUGGCCAGAGAAUGGCAAGUAGAUGGAAAAGUGGUCUGUUGUGUUAGCUACAAUGCAGCUAACAUAACCAAAGCAAUGAACAUUUUAAAAUAGACCCAUCAUCCAUGUCUUUCCCACACAAUCAACCUGAUUGUAAGAGAUGCUCUGAAGGUGAUGAAGCCCACUGGACAAAGUGAAAGGAGCUGUGGAAUACUUCCACAGGAGCACAGUAGGUGCUGAAAACUAAAGUCUACACAACACCAGAUGGGGAUGCCUGAGCUGAGACCUAAACAAGACUGCACCACAAGGUGGAAUUCAACAUUUUAUAUGUUGAAGCGGUUUCUUGAGUCAAAGGAUGCCAUCAUCUCUACCCUGGCCAUUGUACCUACAUUUACAUUACAUUUUAGCCAUUUAGCAGACGCUCUUAUCCAGAGCGACUUACAGUAGUGAAUACAUACAUUUCAUGCAUUUUUGUUAUUUUUUUUGUACUGGCCCCCCGUGGGAAUCGAACCCACAACCCUGGCGUUGCACACACCAUGCUGGCUUUGCAAACACCAUGCUCUACCAACUGAGCCACAGGGAAGCCUGUUGAAGCCUGUUGAUGCUCUGACCCAAGAGGAAUGGGAGGUGGUGGAGGAGGUGUGCAGAGUCCUGGAACCCUUUGAGCAGGUCACUGUGGAGAUCAGUGGAGAGGGCAGUUAUUACUACAUCAUUAUUUAAUCCAGUAUUAUAUAUGUAUAUGAGCAGUAGAUGAGAAUGUAGUAUCAGUAGACAAAACAUGAACCUGAACUAAUAAGUUACUCUUCUCUCUCUUCAGCUAUGUGACAGCCUCAAAAAUGAUACUCCUGUGUAAGGGUCUGCAGUGAUCACAGCCAGCCGCCAGAGAGAAGCAAAUGUUACCACAGGACAUGUGACAGAGUUGAUGGACACCCUAUGUUCAUCAACAGACAGAAAGUUCCAUAGAAUGGAAUAUAAUCAUGUGCUAUCAGAAACCGCUGCACUUGACCCCAGGUUUAAGAAGUUAGCCUUCAGUGAUGCCAGAGUGAUUGAUGAGGCUCUUCAAAGAAUAACCUCAGCAGCAGGGAGGGACAACCCCAGCAGUCAGCUGGCUCGGGCAACAGGAAGAAGAGGGAUCAGAUGGAGCAGAAGCACCAGCAGUAGUGCCACAAACGUCUGCUGUUUAUAUGCUUUUUUGACGAGAGCAACUGGGGAUGCAGCACGAAGGAAUCCCUCAGCCAUAAUGGAGGUCCGAUCCUAUUUGGAGGAGGCCCUCCAAAGAUCUGCAGAUCCUCUGAGCUGGUGGAAGAACAAGGCCUCGGUCUACCCACGGCUUACUAAAGUCAUGACAGGGAGACUCUGCAUAUUGGCCACAUCCAUUCCCUCUGAGUUGGUCUUCUUGAAAACGGGACAAAUAAUUACUGAGAGAAGAAACCGCAUCAGCCCCUCAAAAGUGAGGUAGCUUGCAUUUCUGAUUGCAAAUCUCUCAUAAACGCAAAAUAUGGUCAGCAUUGCUGUGUGCUGCUGGUUAUAACAUGGCAAUAAAGAAUAGAGCGAAAAGUGGGACCAGUUUAGUGUUUUAAGUAGGAUGCUGCAGUUUUGCACAUUAUUUAUUUUUCUUUGAUCUGGUGCAAUAUUCUAUUGUUAUGUUCAGAUUGUAUUCGUUUUGAAUUGUUAGAUUUAUAUGCACUUUGUUAAUAUACUUUAAAUGCAAAUGUUUAAUAGCAUUCUUUUUCAUAACAAACCAAUGCAUUCAUUAAAUACAUUGUGGUUAUGGUAGAGUAGGAUUUCAUUUCAUUUAAUUAGAAUUGUUUUAACACCAAUCAUAGUCAAACUAUUGCAAACUGUUUGACUUGAAAAAAUACAUAUAUACUUUUUUAAACAGACGUUUGGGCGCCAAAAGACCCGGCUCUUUUUGGUGAGCUGAGCCGAACGAGCCGGCUCACUGAAAAGAGCCGGAAUGCCCAUCACUACUGGCAAGACGCGAUCGGGACAGGAAGCUAUGUAUCGGGUAGGAAGUUGAGCGUUAGUGGGCGUUGCUAUGUUGUGCAAAAGUCUAUCUACAAUAUGAAUGUGAACUCAAUCCCCCAAAACUGAUAUCACGUGUAGCCUAGUCAAUAACCCACAACUGGUCAGUGUGAUUGUGUAUGGGUAAAUUUCGGCGUAACAUAAUUUAAUACUAAAUAAAAAUGAUUGGUUUUAUGUUUUCACACAUCAUUUUCUUUACCACUUGAUGUCAACAAAGCACAUUUGUGUGUCACUUUUAUUUAACCAUAACACACACUUUUAGCUCUGUACACAAACAUUUGAGGCCCAAAUAAAAUAGUGUUAAAUAUAAUAGAAAUAACUAUUCGUCACAAUUUUUU